UACAGAGGUCUCAAGCGUUGUUCGGAUUCAUUGGGCGUAAAGGGUGCGUAGGCGGCGCGGUAAGUCGGGUGUGAAAUCUCGGAGCAUAACUCCGAAACUGCAUUCGAUACUGCCGUGCUUGAGGACUGGAGAGGAGACUGGAAUUUACGGUGUAGCGGUGAAAUGCGUAGAUAUCGUAAGGAAGACCAGUGGCGAAGGCGGGUCUCUGGACAGUUCCUGACGCUGAGGCACGAAGGUCAGGGGAGCAAACGGG
rnacentral:rRNA from 1 species